AUACCAGACCAUCGAGUGGCAACGCCGCACGAACAGAACGUAUCGGAAGUUGGGCAACAUGCCAUUCGAUUUCGAGACUUUAAGCGAAACGGUUGUGUUUUUGCGCGUGUGUGCGGGUGGCGGACGCGCGUGCCAAUCGGAAAAGGCCUUUAAAUCAAAUGAGUGUCUCGCCAAAGGAGCGCAUCAAGAGCAGGCAAAAAAUCAACAAAAUACGAAACACAAAGCCAAAUCAAAAGAAAUCAAAUUUCAAAUUCGUGCGGCCACCAGCAAUAUCGAAAUAAAGAAAUUAUCUAAAUAAUCAUUAUCAUCAUCA